rnacentral:piRNA from 1 species
ACAGGGCUGAGAUACAUGUCACUG